AAUAGAUACCCAGGUAGUCCACGCCGUAAACGAUGAGUGCUAAGUGUUAGAGGGUUUCCGCCCUUUAGUGCUGCAGCUAACGCAUUAAGCACUCCGCCUGGGGAGUACGGUCGCAAGACUGAAACUCAAAGGAAUUGACGGGGGCCCGCACAAGCGGUGGAGCAUGUGGUUUAAUUCGAAGCAACGCGAAGAACCUUACCAGGUCUUGACAUCCCACUGACCGGUAUAGAGAUAUACCUUUCCCUUCGGGGACAGUGGUGACAGGUGGUGCAUGGUUGUCGUCAGCUCGUGUCGUGAGAUGUUGGGUUAAGUCCCGCAACGAGCGCAACCCUUGAUCUUAGUUGCCAGCAUUUAGUUGGGCACUCUAAGGUGACUGCCGGUGACAAACCGGAGGAAGGUGGGGAUGACGUCAAAUCAUCAUGCCCCUUAUGACCUGGGCUACACACGUGCUACAAUGGAUGGUACAAAGGGCUGCAAGACUGCGAAGUCAAGCCAAUCCCAUAAAACCCAUUCUCAGUUCGGAUUGC
rnacentral:rRNA from 1 species